GACGAACGCUGGCGGCGUGCUUAACACAUGCAAGUCGAACGGAAAGGCCUGCUUUCCCUUGUGGAUUGCGGGUACUCGAGUGGCGAACGGGUGAGUAACACGUGAGUGAUCUGCCCCCAACUUGGGUAUAAGCCUGGGAAACUGGGUCUAAUUCCCGAUAGGACUGCAGGGUGGUGCCUGUGGUGGAAAACGAUUUUCUAGUGGUUGGGGAUGAGCUCGCGGCCUAUCAGCUUGUUGGUGGGGUCAUGGCCUACCAAGGCGGCGACGGGUAGCCGGCCUGGGAGAGUGGGCGGGCGCGUUGGGACUGCGAUACUGCCCAGACUCCUCCGGCAGGCCGCCGUCGGGAGUAAUGCGCGAGGGGCGGAGGCCUGAUGCAGCGACGCCGAGUCAGGGAUGCCGGCCUUCGGGUUGUAGCCUCCGUUCGGCCGAGAGGAAGCCGCCUGGUUGGAGGGGUAGUGACGGUAGUGGCAGAAGAAGCACCGGCUAACUACGUG
rnacentral:rRNA from 1 species